rnacentral:rRNA from 1 species
GAUUAAAUGAUGGGGUGCAAGCUCUUGAUUGAAGUCCCGGUAAACGGCGGCCGUAACUAUAACGGUCCUAAGGUAGCGAAAUUCCUUGUCGGGUAAGUUCCGACCUGCACGAAUGGCGUAACGAUGGCCACACUGUCUCCUCCCGAGACUCAGCGAAGUUGAAGUGUUUGUGAUGAUGCAAUCUCCCCGCGGCUAGACGGAAAGACCCCAUGAACCUUUACUGUAGCUUUGCAUUGGACUUUGAACCGAUCUGUGUAGGAUAGGUGGGAGGCUUUGAAACCGGGACGCUAGUUUCGGUGGAGCCGUCCUUGAAAUACCACCCUGGUUUGUUUGAGGUUCUAACCUUGGCCCGUGAAUCCGGGUCGGGGACAGUGCAUGG